rnacentral:rRNA from 1 species
AACGAACGCUGGCGGCGCGUCUUAAACAUGCAAGUCGAACGGCAGGAAGGGGCUUGCUUCUGAGAGUGGCGGACUGGUGAGUAACACGUGGGUGACAUACCUUUUAGUUGGGGAUAGCUAUUAGAAAUAGUAGGUAAUACCGAAUGUGACCGUAUUUAUUAGAAGGAUACGAGGAAAGGAGCUAAGGCUUCGCUAAAAGAAUGGCUCGCGGCCCAUUAUGCUUGUUGGUGAGGUAACGGCCCACCAAGGCGAUGAUGGGUAUCCGGCCUGAGAGGGUGAACGGACACAUUGGGACUGAGAUACGGCCCAGACUUCUACGGGAGGCAGCAGUUAAGAAUAUUCCGCAAUGGACGAAAGUCUGACGGAGCGACGCCGCGUGGAUGAAGAAUGCCGAAAGGUUGUAAAAUCCUUUUAAGCCUGAUGAAUAAGCACAAUAGGGAAUGAUUGUGCGGUGACCGUAGGGCUUGAAUAAGCACCGGCUAAUUACGUGC